rnacentral:rRNA from 1 species
GACGAACGCUGGCGGCGUGCCUAAUACAUGCAAGUCGAACGGUCUUUUCUAUGGAAGCUUGCUUCCACUGAGAAGAUAGUGGCGAACGGGUGAGUAACACGUGGGUAACCUGCCCAUAAGAGGGGGAUAACAUCCGGAAACGGGUGCUAAUACCGCAUAGGUUUCUUGGUCGCAUGAUCGAGAAAGGAAAGACGGCCUUUGUGCUGUCGCUUACGGAUGGACCCGCGGCGUAUUAGUUAGUUGGUGAGGUAACGGCUCACCAAGACGAUGAUACGUAGCCGACCUGAGAGGGUGAUCGGCCACAUUGGGACUGAGACACGGCCCAAACUCCUACGGGAGGCAGCAGUAGGGAAUCUUCCGCAAUGGACGAAAGUCUGACGGAGCAACGCCGCGUGAGUGAAGAAGGUUUUCGGAUCGUAAAACUCUGUUGUCAGAGAAGAACAAGUCGGAGAGUAACUGCUUCGGCCUUGACGGUAUCUGACCAGAAAGCCACGGCUAACUACAUGCCAGCCGCCGCAGUAA